GAUGAACGCUGGCGGCGUGCCUAAUACAUGCAAGUCGAGCGAACAGACGAGGAGAUUGCUCCUCUGACGUUAGCGGCGGACGGGUGAGUAACAAGUGGAUAACCUACCUAUAAGACUGGGAUAAUUUCGGGAAACCGGAGCUAAUACUGGAUAAUAUAUUGAACCGCAUGGUUCAAUAGUGAAUGACGGUUUUGCUGUCACUUAUAGAUGGAUUCGCGCCGCAUUAGCUAGUUGGUAAGGUAACGGCUUACCAAGGCAACGAUGCGUAGCCGACCUGAGGGGUUAAUCGGCCACACUGGAACUAGGACACGUUCCAAACUCCUACGGAGGGCAGCAGUAGGAAUUCUGGCGCAUGGGGCGAAACCUUGUCGAAGCAUCGCGGCGUGGGUGAUAAGGCUUUUCGGUUCUUAAACCUCUGUUAUUAGAAAGAAACGAAUGUGUAUUAACUAUGCACGUCUUGACGGUACCUAAUCAAAAAGCCACGGCUAACUUCGUG
rnacentral:rRNA from 1 species